AGGGUAGAGUAACAGUUCUGAUAGACUAGAGUAGAGUAGAGUAGCUGCUCUGAUAGACUAGAGUAGAGUAGAGGUUCUGAUAGACUAGAGUAGAGUAGAGGUUCUGAUAGACUAGAGUAGAGUAACAGUUCUGAUAGACUAGAGUAGAGUAGAGAUUCUGAUAGGCUAGAGUAGAGUAGAGUAAGAGUUCUGAUAGAGUAGAGUAGCAGUUAUGAUAGAGUAGAGUAGAGGUUCUGAAAGAGUAGAGUAGACGUUCUGAUAGACUAGAGUAGAGUAGCCGUUCUGAUAGACUAGAGUAGAGUAGCAUUUCUGAUAGAGUAGAGUAGUGUAGCAGUUCUGAUAGACUAGAGUAGAGUAGAAGUUCUGAUAUAGUAGAGUUGAAGUUCUGAAAUGUUAGAGUAGAGUAGCAGAUCUGAUAGACCGGAAGAAGAGUAGAAGUUCUGAUAGACUAAAGAAGCAGUUCUUAUAGACUAGAUUAGCAGCUCUGAUAGAGUAGAGUAGAGUAGCAUAUCUGAUAGACUAGUGUAGAGCAGCAGCUCUGAUAGACUAGAGUAGAGUUGAAGUUCUGAUUGACUAGAGUAAAGGAGCAGUUCUGAUAGACUAGAAUAGAGAAGCAGUUAUGAUAUACUAGAGUAGAGUAGAGGUUCUGAUAGACUAGAGUAGAGUCGAGUAGAAUUUCUGAUGGAGUAGAGAAGAAGUUCCGAUAGACUAGAGUAGAGUAGCAGAUCUGACAGACAGGAGUAGAUGUUCUGAUAUAGUAGAGUAGACAAUCUGAUAGAGUAGAAUAUCUGAUAGACUACAGUGGAAGUUUUGAUAGAGUAGAGUAACAGUUCUGAAGGAAAAGAGUAGAGUAACAGUUCUGAUAGACUAGAGUAGAGUAACAGUUCUGAUAGACUAGAGUAGAGUAGAGUAGCUGCUCUGAUAGACUAGAGUAGAGUAGAGGUUCUGAUAGACUAGAGAAGAGUAACAGUUCUGAUUGACUAGAGUAGAGUAGAGGUUCUGAUAGACUAGAGUAGAGUAGAGGUUCUGACAGAGUAGAGUAGAGGUUCUGAUAGACUAGAGUAGAGUAGAGUAGAUGUUCUGAUAGACUAGAGUAGAAGUUCUGAUAGACUAGAGUAGAGUAACAGUUCUGAUAGACUUGAGUAGAGUAGCAGUUCUGAUAGA
rnacentral:lncRNA from 1 species